rnacentral:rRNA from 1 species
UACGGGGGGGGCAAGCGUUGUUCGGAAUUACUGGGCGUAAAGGGCUCGUAGGUGGCCAACUAAGUCAGACGUGAAAUCCCUCGGCUUAACCGGGGAACUGCGUCUGAUACUGGAUGGCUAGAGUUUGGGAGAGGGAUGCGGAAUUCCAGGUGUAGCGGUGAAAUGCGUAGAUAUCUGGAGGAACACCGGUGGCGAAGGCGGUUCUCUGGGCAUGAUCUGACGCUGAGGAGCGAAAGUGUGGGGAGCGAACAGG